UCGCGCCCGUCGGCGUCCCUUCACAGAGGGGCGGCUGGGGGGCGCCGGGCGCUCGCUGCCCGUCUUGUCCCUCCGCUGCCUGUCCCAGCUGCCGCCUUCCAGGCGCCGAGGGGCGGCUCCGAAAGCGUUCUCGGGGGUCCCUCCCCAGGGCCUGAGGUAAACUGCCCCUCUCCCUCACAGUGCCCCUCGCCCUGUCCCCCUCGGCCGAGGCGGUGCCCCCCCACCCCGUUUUCAGGUACCUCCGCGCUGGACGCGCCUGGCUGGUGGCGGGACGGUCGCGCCAGACUGACCCCGUGGCUCGGGUCGGGGGUGGCAGGGCCCAGCCGUGGGGCCCCAGGCUAGGCGGGAUUUCUGCAGCGCUGAGGCGAGGCCGGGAGAAAUGUACAAUGAUUUUAGCCCAGUGAUUAUACAGAGGGGACUUGAUGUCCGGAAGCAGUGAUCCUGCAAACAGUUUCAGUCUCCAUUGCUACCUGUAGCCAUGCUGACCUGAUGGAAUGGAGCUCUCGCAAGGUCAUCGAUUAAAGAGCAAACAAACCAACCAGCAAACAUUAAAGAAGGCGCCUUCUGCUCCAGGCCACAUACUCCACAGGACUGUGAUUGUUAUUCUACUUUAUGAUCUGUUCAUUUCGUGAAUUCAAAGAAGAUGGAGCUGAUGGUCAAUUCGCACUUUAAAAUGAUUACUCAUUUUGUUUAACCAAGUUACCAGUGUAGUGUGUUUAAAUUGCAGACACAUGGGAGGUAAGUGUGGGUUAUUAGUAGCCCACAAUUUAUUAAAGCUCCUGAACUCUUUGUCAAUUGCUUCUCUUGGUCUUCAGGAACGAGGAUUUCUGAAAUUUCUGGUCGUGCAUCAAAGCAUUUAAGAAGAGGGUAUUUACAGUGGGGAUGUUUUGUAUUUCAUUUUGGAACAUUGGCAGCCAGCCCUUUACUUCUAAUUGAAUGAGAGAGAUAAUUUGUCAUACAGAGAGGUAGUUGAUUUAAUUUUAAUUUUUGUCAGAAUGCCCAGAGCAUUGAAUGGAUGUCUGAUCAUUGGAACAACAUCCUUAGUGCAUAUUGAAAGAAUUAAUACAAUUAAUUCACCACCACCACGGGAAAAAUUCUGGGAUUUUGUUUAUGCAGAUUGAAACUGAUGAUGAAUAUGCAAAACUAAAUGUAUGAUACUCUUGCCUUUUCCAUGAUGCAAGUUCAAUUUCUCAUGUAAAGCUCAGGCCUGAGAGGCAAAAAGCACUUAUUUUGGUAUGUGGGAGAUGGAGGCUCUCCUAAUUCCUUAUUGGAGACUAGAGAGUCCAUGGGCUACUUGACCCAGGUAGUAACUGAGGCCUUUUCCCAAGGGAUAUCUCAAUGUUCAUCUUAUUUUGUUCUAGAGCAUUUUGAAAUAUGGUUAUAAUGAAAGCUUGGCAAAAGAACAGUUUAAAAUGUAAAAAUAGCAAAAUGUGCGGAGGCUGCUGUUCAUUUUGUAAGUCAAACCUUGUGACUAAAGUAUGCUGCUUAGCAACAGAUGGGGAAAAUUUGAAGGUGAUCAGAUCAUUUUGCACUCUCUGAAAGUUAAUUAUUCAUCUUCAUCCUACCUUUAAAGCACCAUGCUUUUCAUGUCCCUGCUCUACUUGUUCCUUGGGAUUAGGACUAUGUGACAGGCUCAGUCAUGUAACCCAGUUUUAUUGUCACCCAUACUCAUGCCGAUGCAGCUGUGAUUCAGCUGCAGAGCUCGAGCUCAGCCUUCUUCAGUUCUCUGUCCCACGAUGCUGUACGUAAUGUGUAUUGAUCCAUAUGGAAUAGGACACAAAGGUGUCCUAGGAAGGAAAGAAGGAAUGACAUCACAGACUAUGCAAUUUCUGUAGAUGUUUUUUUAUUAAGCACACACUUCUGUCUCAGCUAGCACCAUUCUCCACCAACCCUUGCUGUUACACCUCCUCCUCCUCUGCAACUUCUUCUCACACCUAGUUCACCAACAGUUUGACUUCAUAUGUCUUUUUUUAUGCUUUCCAAGAGCACAGGGUUGCUUUUGCUUCUAAGUUUGAUUUUUCUUAGGAAAUUGAUCAGAUCCCAGAUUGAAAAAAAUAUUUAUAAAUAUUGCUAAUGAAAUAUUCUCAGAUUGUGGCAUUUGGGAAGGUGUAACAUUCCCAUUGCCGCUGCCAUCAUUCAGCAUGCACAGGGUAGAAGCAUAAAUACAGUACUAUAAAUUGGCAAGUAGUGUUUAAUUUAUUUAUCUGCAUAUGCUUUCUGUGUGAACCAAGACUUAUGUUGACCAAGACAUUAAACAAUUUGGUAGGCUUAAAAUACAAGCAUCUCAUACCCAACUGAAAAUUUCAUUUGCAUAAAUAGUUAAGGAAGCAGUGAUUUGUGUUCAUGUUUAACUGGUAUAUGCCACCAGAUGAAAUCUUGCCUGACAGGUGGUAAAAAGUAUUUGAUGAGAUGUCUGUACUCUUCAGUGGGGUGAAUUUCAACUUUUAAAAUAUAAUUUUCACACAAUGUAGCAUGGGAGUUUAUUUAAUUAAAGUUACAUUUUUCUUUGUUUCUUCUUAGCCCUAAAGCAAGGCACCUUCAGGUAAGGAUACUGUUUUUUUCUACAUGCAGAGCCAAGAAAACUUCAGGGUGAAUUAUUCAAGAUAUUGAUUAGGGAUAAACCAGCAGAUUAUAAGAAGGUUUUUUGUAAACACUGUCAUGAUAUAUUGAUUAUUCUUAUCACUUAAUAAAAGCAUGUUUAAAGACUUGAGUUUUUAAAGCCUAGAAGUUACUACCUCCCUCAUUGUAUGCCUCAGUGGCAUACAAGUCCAUUUAAACAGAAAGGAUAAUCCUUGUUACAAAGAAAGUAGAACAGCAUUUACCAAUAGGUAAAUAGGCACUAAUAAAAGUAAUGAAUGUUUAACAUUUCUGAAAGAAUGCACUGUAAAAACCAUCAUCGUGCUAUAUGAUUUGUAAGAAAGAUAUACUUUAUGUUACAUGCCAUAAUUAUUUAAAACAAUGCUUACAGGGGUCCUCAUGGUUGGUUUGCAUUUUUUUGUUGGUUUUUUUUUUUUUUUCCAACUAGCAUAAUAAUCUCAUGUAGCAGAGGCAGGUGAUUGUAUGCUUUACAGAGUUACAAAAAAGUGCAGUUAGGAAGAAGUGCAAUCUGUACACAUAUCUGCUACAUGAUUCUAUUUUAAGGGAUUCAGGAUGAAAAGUAGUGUUAUUAAAGUGCUGAUUGUGACUUUAUAAUCAAUGUACAUAUGAAUAACCAUGCUGCAGGGAACCAGAGAUCUGACUUGCCUCAUGCUAUUUCUCUGACACUGGACAAAAAAGUGCUUUACCCAGGUUGUACCUUAGGGGCUUUCUGAACCAUAUGUGGUGUGGAGACAUUGGCAAGUAGUGUGCAGUGUUACGAGCUAUUCAUGAUCAAAUAUUGCUUCCAGUGAGGAAAAGAAGCCCAUGUUCUUCUCCUGGAGACUGUGCAGGCCCGUAUUAAGAAUUUUAGACCUCUUUGGCAUAGUGCUAAUUGGGAACUAAGGUGGAUGUGUAAUUAUACAAAUUGGGAUAGUCUUGAUGAGCAGGUAGUCUGAUAAAUGAGUACAUUGCUGAGUGAUAUUACUUGUUACAUAUAAUGGGUACAGUGAGACCAAGCUAUGUAUGCUAUAUUUGGAAACUAGAUAUUUGAAUGCUAUUUUAAUAUGAAUGAAUUAAUUUUUGGUAUCUCUGGGAAAUCCUUGAGUAUUAGCAACGAUUUUGUGCUCUCCCCAAGUUAACAGAUAGCUUGGAAGGCAGAGCAGAUGUUGAUAAGCACAGUUACAGAACUAAGUUUAACCUUUACAAGCAAUGAAAAAGGCCUGGGAAAUACUAGUUGUUCUUAGGUCAAUUAGUCUUAUAAUGCACUCUCAUAAAAUGAAAUAGAGCUUGAAUCUAAGCUGCUGAUUUGUAAACAAUUAAAUAUCUAAUGUAGUGUUUAUUUUAUUUGCUAAUCAUCUUGUUUACUGACAUUUGAAUUUAUUUUCUUGCCUCCCCCCCUUCUCCCCCCCCCCAUUUAGAAUAAAAUAGUCUGGUGUAUGGAUUAUUUGCCUGCAUUUAAGAAAGACUAUUGACUCCUAAAGAGGUACAUUAUAAGAACUGCUAAAUAAUUAAAUAAUAGAUAGCUAGUGCAGCAAGCGUAGGUUUUUACAAAUUCUCAAAUGCAAAGAGGUAAAGCAAAAGUAUUAAUGUAAGAGAGGGGAUACGACACAGUCUCCUCUGCUGAAAAGACUUUCCUCUCUUCCUUUUUCCUGGGUUGCAUAACCAUUUCUUGCCCACAGUUUCCCCUCAUCCUUGGCUAAAGUUGAUUAAAGAGUUCUCAUUUCUAUUUGAAUCUAUUUUAUACAGUACUUAUAAAAUGCCUCGAUCUUCCAGCUGGCAUCUACACACAUUUGAAAAAAACCCCAUCAUAUAGCUGCUAAUUUGAGCUUCCAAAUUGAAGGCUUGGAUGUUCAGUUAAGAUGCAAUUAGUUGAAAAUGAGGCAUUAUGUACCAAAAUCCCCAUGUCAGCUUUGAAAGUUAAGCUUAUGAUGAAAUAAGACAUUUCAAAAUUGAAGUUAUGGCUGCAUUCUCUCGUCUCUAGGCCAAACGUGUUCAUAAUCCUUUCUACUUAUUUCUUAACACACAAUAGCAAAUUAAGUCCACAUGAGCCUUUUAGAUAAAUAAAGCCAGAUCAUAACUGAUUUGGCCCUGAUCAUGUUUUGGAAUGUGUUGAUUUAAGCAGUGUAACUCUAACAGUAAGGGGCAAGCUAAUUACAGUUGCUUAGAAAUCCAGAUUUUCUAGGUCUGAGCUGGAUCCUGCCUGACAGCCUGAAUUUCUCUGUAGUAUUUGAAACUCACUCUUUGAACAAGGACUUCACCUGAAAAAGUCUAGCAGCGAAACAGUAAUUUCUUGGUUCUUGACUCCAUAUUACCACUUAAUCCCCAGUUUUCCUCUCUACAGGGUAGUUAGAGACAGCCCAGGAGGUACGAUGAAAUUGGCUUCUAGAAAGGUUUUAUUGGUGAGUUAGUGCCACAGGAUAUGGGUGUCACGUUGGGUCCCAAAGCUGUACUGGAGGGGGCAGAACAUUGCUGCAUGUGGCUGAGACUGGCUUAGGGUGAAUCAGUGCAUCAGUCCUAGGAAUCAAGAGAAACUUCAGUGUAUGCUGUUUAGAGUAUCACUAGACACUUACUGAAAUUAAGGAUUUUACCUUAAACUGGUAAUAAAUAACAGCAUCUCAGAAGUGAAAAAGCAUAUGGAGGGAUACGAAAGAUAAGACUUUUAAGGUAUAAACUGAUCAGUGGCUAGUUGCAGUGUCACGCUUCAGCAUAGACUUGCUUUGUCAGCUUGGGCAUAUCCCUUUGCCUUUAGUUUUUCUAGCUCCCUAUUGUGAGAUAAAAUAAAUACAUCACCAAGUGCAUGAUGGAAUUAAGCUCUUAAUUUAUAAUCUGUCAAACAGGCACAGCACUGUCGUCAUGGAGUCUGUUUGGUAUUUUACUAGAGGUUGUAUUCUUUCAACCAUAGCCGGUCAAGUUACACGAGUUGUUACACUUACGGCCAUAUUAAUUAAAAAAGACAGUUAUUGUACUAAUAUAAGAAAUCACCAGCAAGCCUGUGAGCAAGCCUACCCAUUACCAUGCAGUAGUUUUACUUAGCUCUGAACUUUGUAUGCUACUUUUUACCUCAUCUGUUUGCUGCUGCACAGACCAGGACAUAGAGGAGCCAUGUAUACUUCUGAUACAUUAGAAGAAACAAAGCAAAAUAUAAUAGGAGCAAAACCAGAAGGGAUUUUUUUACUAUUAUUAUCAAGCCUUUAUAAUCUAUUACAGCUAAAGAAUUAAAAAAAAGUUGAAAAAGGAAUUACUAUACCUGUUUAAGUCUCUUUAAAAUCUUUAUCUUUUUUCCAAGAUAAAAUUUGUCGUUAAGUUCCUAGUUUAAACUGUUGUUACUUAAGUAAAUAAGAUCUGUACAAUACCUUGGAAAAAAAAAAAUCUGACGGUGGUCUUCCGUAAUUGACUGAGUGUACUUGAAAGUUGUUUUGUUUUUCUUUUAUUUGAAUGAAAGGAACCUAAUCUCCAACCUGGUUAUACUUAGAAUCCUUGAUUCAGUCAGUUUUAGGAUUUGAAUUUCUAACAAUUUUUACACUCAGUAAAUAAUAAACACUCCAAAAACCUUACUUAUGUGCAGAAUGCUUCAUUCUUGAAAUAGUGUACUGUUCCUAAAAUUGCAUUUAGAUAAAAAGCUGUCCACCUUCAGACAAUGGAACCAUUUCAUUAAAAAAAAAACCCCAACAAAAAAACCCCCAAGAAAACAAAACAAAAAACCCCCCAAACAACAAAGGAGAAGAGAUAGCUCUCGCUUGCAGAAACAAUCCUAGCUGACUGUUCUGGGACUGAUCUUCAGAAUUACCUCAUUAUUUAUUCUUGGUGCAGUCCACCAAUUAAACAAACAGUUUUAUAUAUAGAAACAGGGAUGGGCUUAGCUUACUUUUUCAGGGUCAUUUUCAGAGACAUGGACACUGAAGAUGUGCAGGCUCAUAUUACCCAACACAGGAGAUACUCUGUGUCCGUGUGUGCAAAUGCAUGUGUGUAAUGUUCUGUGCUCUCAGCAAAGUCGAUAAUGAAUGAAGGCCGGUCAGAGAUUCCUGGUGGAUAUCAGUUGAAAUUCCUCUAUUUGGGUAAUAAUGCAUGUGUUAGUCAAGCCACUAGAAAUACAUCAGGGAUCCCUAAGCAGCUGAUGGGGCUAAGAAAGGAAAAAACAAAACAAAACAAAAACCCCAAACAAACCACCACUGCAUUUAGAUAUCAGUAACACUUUGUGGGAAAAAAUCUCGAUGACUUAGUAUGUGAUAAGUCAAACCCUCUGUCAAUUAAAUAUUAAAGUGAAAAAGAAAAAUCUUGAUUAUGACUUCUGUCAGCUAGUGAUACGCAAUACAAUGCUAAUAUUUAAGAAAACCCUAAUUUACUGUAAUAGUUAUAUGAACUGUAACACAGCAGAUUUAUCGCUGCAAUUCAAGGCUUGGCUGAGACAUCUUCAGUCUCUGUAUAGAUAGUACCUAAUGCACCAAGAUUUGCAUGGGACAUGUCUCAAAAGUUUCUAGGUAUUUUUUCAUAUUUGGUAUGGGCAGGGCUCUUGAAGGAUCUCCAGAUUUUUGCUGAUGUGGUAUAGCUGCAGGUGAUCCAACCAUUUACACACUGGUUAUCUCUGUAUUAAGAACGUCUCUCGUCUCCAACUAGUGGUCAUAACAUCAUGCUUGUGGUACGUAAGCAUUAGAAAUAUAGUAUGACAUUCUGUAAGUUAUAGAAAAAGUGGAGUGAUACACUUCAGAAUGGAUCUGUAACAAAUGAAACAAGGGGAUUACAUAGGCUUUGGCAGUUAGAAUCGUGUAACAGUUUCACACAAAUAAAUGUUGAUUUUUAAAGACCAUAGUUCUUUCCAACACUUAACAUUCACAGAUUUUAAAGGUGAAGCAGGAACAAAGCUUAUCUUGACAACGGGAAGAGCUAGAUAGGGGGAUUUCAUUAAAGAGAAUUUAGAUGAAAGUAGGACACAUGGCAUUAAUAUUUUUGCUGUUGCAGAUCUCCCAAGUCCUGAUAUAAAAGACUAUGCAUGGAAUAUGAGGGUUUUUUGCAGGCUCUGAAAACUUGACAGUGGUAUUACUGCAAUGUGUUAAAAGGGCCAUGAGAUAUAAAUGCCACAAGGAAGUUUGUAACUUCUGCCAUCUAUGCAUAAGAUUCCAAGAAUUUUGUUGUAUGUAAAAAAUGCUUUGAAAGUUUUUCGAGGCUGAGAAUAAUUUAUAAAAGCAACUGACUAUAAUUUUAUUGGAUCUGUACUUUGUCUGGUUUUAAUCUGUUAAAAAAAAAUAAAUCCAAGACAAAAAUUAGAAUUACGUGUCGCAAGAAUUGCUAACCUGCUGCUCUGCGUUUUCUCUACGUGUCAGUUUUCCAAGUGUGACGUGCCUCAAGUCUGAGACCAAAAUGAAAUUGAAGUACAAUACAUUUUUGUAUAAGCCCCUGGAUAUUAAGUACUGGACAAGACUCCGCUGCAGCCAGUCUUGCAAAGAACUCUGUGUUAGUUCUGUUCAAAAGACAUCACGAACUGCAGCAAUAUUUAAGCAGCAUUCCUGAAGGCAAACGAAUGGAGAAGAAUAUAGACAGACAUCGUUAGGAUUACAGAAGCAAAAGAGAAAUAAAUUAGAAAAUUCCAGAGGAAAAGCAGAAGAAAGAUUAAAGUCAAAUGGAGAAUCUGAGAAUAACAUAAACACAGCAUCAUGAGAAAAAAGUGACAAACUGUAAGAUGUUAGUGUCGAAUGGCGCUGUGGGUAUGUGACACACACACCUCCACUGCAGCUGCACGUUCCUGGUGCUCCGGAGCCCUGUGACGUUCCAUUCACCCAUGAUGAUGUUCCGAACAUGUCCUACUGCGUACGCUAACGGGAACUGAGUAGCUCUGCACAAAUAACUCGAAUUAGAACUAUGCUGCCUAUUGUUAGAGGGUCUGAAAUGCAGCAAUGCCAAGUUUAGGCAUUAUGUGCCAAUUUCGCUAGGGAAACUCCUGGGCUUUGAAUCACGUGGGACAUCGUGCUGUAUGCAUUUGAAAUUGGAAUGUUGGUACGUUUCUGUGAACAAUACUAAGGAGUCACUAAAGGGAGAUUAAACUGGAAGGAUUUCACUGAAUCGCCCGAUGGAAAUUUCUUUCUCUUCUUGCUAAUCCAAUUUUGCCAUAUUCCAGCAUCUACUUGCAAGCUUUCUGUGUUAGCGUUGAUGGAAUUUGAAUUCAGUUGAACUAUAGUUAUGAAGGAGAAGCUGGAGCAGUGGGGAAUGGUGGCUUAAAAAUAAAACUUACAUAAAUUUAUAGUACGCGUAUGAUAGAUUUAGUAGUGAUUUUGAAAAUUCUGCCCUCAAAAAUUACAAAUUUACUCUCUGGCAUUCUUGAUAAUCCUGCAAGGCCCCUGCCCCAAAUCUUUUAAUCAGUAGUCCCAGCUGUGAUUGCUAGCUAAUUGCUUCUGAAACUGUGUUUAGUGUUCUUUGGACCUACUUCAUGGUAAACCUGACCAUCUCAUCAACAGAGAGAGAGACUUAUGUGUGGGUUUGAGUCUCCAUAAAAGGAAUAUUUACUAUGAUCUGCCGAACAAACUUAUGUGAGAAAGGUAACCACUGAAAAAGGCAAAUCGAUUGCAAAACUUUGUUUAGCCACCUGACCACUGUCUUUUCAUACACAAAAAGAAAAAAAUAAAAAUGAGAAUGGUGUAAGUGCCAUUCUGAGAGCUGAGGAAGAAGCUGUGAGCUCAAUAACAAGAUUGCAUUGCUGAAUAAUAACUCCAGUUUGUUUAAUAACUUGCCUACUCUCUUUGAUAGUCGAUGAUAAAGUUGAAGGAAAAAAGAAGUAAUGCUGAGUGACAAAGGACCCUAGAAAUGAAAUCUGUUUUUAUUUACAGAGGGAAGCUCUUACAAACAGAACUAUGGUAAAAGGCAAGCUAAGAAAACAGUAUCUAUUUAACCCCAGUUUAAUAUUCCUAGGAAGGCUGCUUUAUAGGAGUUGUGGAUUAACAGAAUUUUUCCAUGCUCUAAAAAAAAAUCUCACUAAAAUUAGUACCUAUGCAGGCCCAUUUUGAUAUAUUGCAUCAACAUCUUCUAUUCAGACAACAAAUCACCAUAGCAGUAAGGGUAACCAGGGCUACUACACUAAGUUCAGUAAGACUAAAGAAUUAAUCUCGUAGCUAAGUAUCGGCUAGCCAAGCUACUGAACAUUUCUUCUGUUUUCAAGACUGUGUAGCUGAGACUAUUUCUUCCUUUUAAUUUACUGCAGAGAAGCUUGCAAAAUACAGAACAAAACUCAAGUAAAAAACCAGCCAGCCUAUUUGUAUUGAAAACUCUGGCAGAUGAACUCUUAACAUUUCGUACGCAAAAUAAAAAAUAGCACUGAAGCUUUAAAACAUUUGAAUAUUUCCUUGUACAACCUUAUCAAAACAUUUAGUCAGCCUUGUACAUUCUCUCUCUCUCUCUGGACUUUGACAACGGAGUAAAUUUUUUUCCCCAGAACCCACUGGCUGAUUUCAAGAAUAAAAUACCAGGGAUGAUAAUAGUGCUAAAGAGUUUCUUUUCUACAGAAGCCUCUCAGGUCCCUCUUAUUUAGUAUCAGCUUUUCUGAGCCUCCCUUACAUAUAUCUAUAUAUCUCUAUAUAUAUGUUAGUUGCAUCAAGUAAGUGGGGAAAAAAGCUAAGUGUUUUUAUUCAGUCAUGAUGAUACUGGUUCCCUUAAAGAGUCUUAAGAAAAGCUGAAGCUAAGAAAUGAACAAUUUCAAAGGUCAGUGUUUCAUCAAUUGAAGCCAGAGGGGAUAGGAGCUGUGAAUUCUCUCUCACCUACAUUCUGGGUCAAAUUUCACUAUGACAGUGAGGGUAUUUUCAACGUGAGAAGGUAGCUCACAGUUAAGUAGGUAUAAAGGACUUCAUAUGAAAAACAUAAAAGGGUUUAUGCUUAGUUUGAGUUGAUUCUGGAAAUAUGAAAAAUUCUUGCUAUUAUGUCAAGAAAGAGUCAACACCUGAAAUAAAUUAGUAUUACAAAAUCCUGGAGCAAUAGUUUCUGAACUUUUUGGUUUAUGACCCUACUUGCAUUUCUUAAAACCACUUAUUGUACAAAAUAGAUCAAUUGAAUAUUAAUUUAAUUUAGACUAUCUUUGAGUAAGAGCUAAGGAGAACUUUAUCCUAAAGUAGCCCUUAUAAAAGGAUUGUAAACCCCGCUAGCACCCAGCUUAUGGAGCCUGAAAUAAAAAUUGUCAAUUUGUAAGCCCA